rnacentral:lncRNA from 1 species
CCCCAGUAAGGAAUCUUGGAAAAGGAGGGAGGUUUUGGUGUUGAACACGAUAAUUAGUCACCAUUUGAGUCAAAAAGAUUUUAAAUUGUGCUUGGAAUUGUUGAAUAUGCUAAUUGAGUUAUGUGGGAAUGAUGAUCCGAACGUGUUGUCGAAAUUAGGGUAUGUAAAAAUGCAGUAUGGUGAUGUGGAGGGCACAAAAAAGGCGUUUAAUUCGGUGGAGGGGAUGGUAGGGAGUGAAAGUGAAGUGGGGUUGAGGAAUUUGGUUUGUUGAAUAUGCUAAUUGAGUUAUGCGGGGAUGAUGAUCCGAACGUGUUGUCGAAAUUAGGGUAUGUAAAAAUGCAGUAUGGUGAUGUGGAGGGCGCGAAAAAGGCGUUUU